rnacentral:rRNA from 1 species
AGACCCGAAACCCGGUGAUCUAGCCAUGGGCAGGUUGAAGGUUGGGUAACACUAACUGGAGGACCGAACCGACUAAUGUUGAAAAAUUAGCGGAUGACCUGUGGCUGGGGGUGAAAGGCCAAUCAAACCGGGAGAUAGCUGGUUCUCCCCGAAAGCUAUUUAGGUAGCGCCUCGUGAAUUCAUCUCCGGGGGUAGAGCACUGUUUCGGCUAGGGGGCCAUCCCGGCUUACCAACCCGAUGCAAACUGCGAAUACCGGAGAAUGUUAUCACGGGAGACACACGGCGGGUGCUAACGUCCGUCGUGAAGAGGGAAACAACCCAGACCGCCAGCUAAGGUCCCAAAGUCAUGGUUAAGUGGGAAACGAUGUGGGAAGGCCCAGACAGCCAGGAUGUUGGCUUAGAAGCAGCCAUCAUUUAAAGAAAGCGUAAUAGCUCACUGGUCGAGUCGGCCUGCGCGGAAGAUGUAACGGGGCUAAACCAUGCACCGAAGCUGCGGCAGCGACGCUGAUGCGUUGUUGGGUAGGGGAGCGUUCUGUAAGCCUGUGAAGGUGGCCUGUGAGGGUUGCUGG